rnacentral:rRNA from 1 species
AGUGAACGCUGGCGGUAGGCCUAACACAUGCAAGUCGAACGGCAGCACAGUAAGAGCUUGCUCCUACGCGUGGCGAGUGGCGGACGGGUGAGGAAUACAUCGGAAUCUACUUUUUCGUGGGGGAUAACGUAGGGAAACUUACGCUAAUACCGCACACGACCUACGGGUGAAAGCAGGGGAUCUUCGGACCUUGCGCGAUUGAAUGAGCCGAUGUCGGAUUAGCUAGUUGGCGGGGUAAAGGCCCACCAAGGCGACGAUCCGUAGCUGGUCUGAGAGGAUGAUCAGCCACACUGGAACUGAGACACGGUCCAGACUCCUACGGGAGGCAGCAGUGGGGAAUAUUGGACAAUGGGCGCAAGCCUGAUCCAGCCAUACCGCGUGGGUGAAGAAGGCCUUCGGGUUGUAAAGCCCUUUUGUUGGGAAAGAAAAGCAGCAGGUUAAUACCCCGCUGUUCUGACGGUACCCAAAGAAUAAGCACCGGCUAACUUCGUG